rnacentral:tRNA from 1 species
AAAACAUAGUAUAAAUAAUACAUUUCAUUUACACUGAAAAUAUACUUUCUAUUAAGUUGUUUU